CUACGGGGUGCAGCAGUGAGGAAUAUUGCACAAUGGGGGGAACCCUGAUGCAGCAACGCCGCGUGGAGGAUGACGCAUUUCGGUGUGUAAACUCCUUUUAUAUGUCAAGAAAAUGACGGUAGCAUAUGAAUAAGCACCGGCUAACUCCGUGCCAGCAGCCGCGGUAAUACGGAGGGUGCAAGCGUUACUCGGAAUCACUGGGCGUAAAGGACGCGUAGGCGGGCUUGUAAGUCAGGUGUGAAAUCCUACAGCUUAACUGUAGAACUGCACUUGAAACUACGAGCCUAGAGUAUGGGAGGGGGAGAUGGAAUUAGUGGUGUAGGGGUAAAAUCCGUAGAUAUCACUAGGAAUACCUAAAGCGAAGGCGAUCUCCUGGAACAUAACUGACGCUAAGGCGUGAAAGCGUGGGGAGCAAACAGGAUUAGAUACCCCGGUAGUC
rnacentral:rRNA from 1 species